rnacentral:ncRNA from 1 species
GAAAGCCGUGUGCGGUGAAAGUCGCACGCACGGUUUGGAGUGGGGGAAAGACUGAAAAGUCCUACCUAUCGUUAC